AGGACGAACGCUGGCGGCGUGCUUAACACAUGCAAGUCGAACGGAAAGGCCCGCUUGCGGGUACUCGAGUGGCGAACGGGUGAGUAACACGUGGGCAACCUGCCCUCAGCUUCGGGAUAACACUUGGAAACAGGUGCUAAUACCGGAUAAUAACCUUUCAUCGCAUGGUGGUUGGUUCAAAGUUUUUCGGCUGAGGAUGGGCCCGCGGCCUAUCAGCUUGUUGGUGGGGUAAUGGCCUACCAAGGCGACGACGGGUAGCCGGCCUGAGAGGGCGACCGGCCACACUGGGACUGAGACACGGCCCAGACUCCUACGGGAGGCAGCAGUGGGGAAUAUUGCGCAAUGGGCGAAAGCCUGACGCAGCGACGCCGCGUGAGGGAUGACGGCCUUCGGUUGUAAACCUCUUUCAGCUCUGACGAAGCGCAAGUGACGGUAGGAGCAGAAGAGCACGGCCAACUACGUGCCAGCAGCCGCGGUAA
rnacentral:rRNA from 1 species